rnacentral:rRNA from 1 species
AGCAGCCGCGGUAAUUCCAGCUCCAAUAGCGUAUAUUAAAGUUGUUGCAGUUAAAAGCUCGUAGUUGAAUUUCGGGAUCAAAGGAUCGGUCAUGCCUUGGUAUGUACUGGUUUUAUUGGUUCUCACCUUCUAAAGAACCAUAAUGUCAUUCAUUUGAUGUUAUGGGGAAUUAGGACUGUUACCUUAGAAAAAUUGAGUGUUUAAAGCAGGCUUACGCUUAGAAUACAUUAGCAUGGAAUAAUGAAAUAGGACAUCAGAUUCUAUUUUGUUGGUUUCUAGGAUCGAUGUAAUGAUUAAUAGGGAUAGGUUGGGGGCUAUUAGUAUUCAAUUG